UAUUCGCACUUCUCUCAAUUUAUUUCAAAACAUAAUUUUAUUAAAAGAAAGAUAGAGAUGACUAAUGAAUAUGUAUUGUUCAUUUCAAUUGAUUCAUUUUUUGAACUUCUUUUGUUGUAUUAUCUAACAAGGAAGAUAUUUAGAUCCCAUCCAGCUGCUAUCUAGCUGGCAUAGUAGUUAGUUAGUAGUGGUUUUUAUGUUUCUGUACAGUUAGUCAGUGGAGAGGUUAAGCUUUUGUUUAGCUUAGCUGGAUUAGAGUAGAUAUUUUUGCUUCUUUACCUUUUCUGUAUAAAUACACACAUAUGGAAUACAAUACAGUUAAGCUUUGCAUUUUACAUAUUUUUACAGUUUCUCUAAUUGUUGAGCUCCAUUUUUAAGACCUCCAUUGCAGCAGUUGCCUGAUCUCAAGGCACUGCAUUCUCUACAUCUUGACAUGAUAUCAAAACACUCUCGAUCCUGAGGUGAUUCUCUCUUGAUUCGCAUUACUUUGCUUUCAAUUGGCAUCCCUCUAAUAAUCUUGGAGCUGCAUUGGUACCCAUUCUUUUUGUCUGCAUUGGUUAUCGCUCAUGGAGGAGAAGCAUAUUUUAAUCAUUAUCGGUGAAAAAUAAAUUGGGAUUCAUCACUAGGGAGUGCGCAAAACCUAAUCUCAAUCACCCUAUAUACAGGUUGUGGGUGCGAUGUGAUGAUAUUGUUACUUCAUAUAUUUUGAAUUCUUUGUUGAGAGAAAUUGUAGACAGUGUUGAAUAUGUUACGGACUCUGUAAAACUUUGGCGAGAAUUAGAAGAUAGAUAUGUGCAGGCUAAUCAUGCGAAAUUAUACUAAAUACAAAAGAAAAUUAAUGAUUUGUCUUAA